GGGUUCAAGCGAUUCUCCUGCCUCAGCCUCCCUAGUAGCUGGGAUUACAGGCGUGCACCACCACGCCCGCCUAAUUUUUGUAUUUUUAGUAGAGAUGGGGUUUCACUACGUUGGUCAGGAUGGUCUUGAACUUCUGACCUUGUGCUCCACCCACCUCAGCCUCCCAAGAGUUGGGAUUACAGGCGUGAGCCACUGCACCCGGCUGAGAUGAUAAUUUUAUUUAAAAAAAAAAUUGUAGAGAUAGGGUCUUGCCGUGUUGCCCAGGCUGGUCUCAAAUUCCUGGGCUCAGGAGAUCUUCCCUCCUCAGCCCCUCAAAGUGCUGGGAUUACAGGCCUGAGCCACUGCAUCCAGCCAGGAGUGACAAUUUCUAAAGCCUUAAUUAGUGAAAUGGUUUGUUUUGAGAAGCAGAAAUGACUAAGUGGUAUAGACAUGCAGGAAAAGCAAAAUGGGCCUUAUGGCUAUUGAAAUUAUGAGUGUUGAUCUGUUCUAUAAAUUGGAGGAGACAGCUAUUUGCAUUCUUUCUUAUCCAGUUGACUAAACUUACUCAUUUUAAAAUGAAUUAUCUUGCAAAAUUAUGUGAGGUUAAGUUUGUCAGAGGAUUGAAAACGUGGUUGGUUUAUUUGUGGUAAUUGUGAAAAAUUGCAAAGGUAGCAAAAUUUUUUAAAAAAUGGAAAAGAGAAAGAUUAUUGAUGCCUUGUGAAUACAGGUGUCCCCAAAAGGCCUGAGACCAACCUUAAUUAUCAAGAAUAUGGUUGCAGUGGAAAUUGGUAAACAGCUGAAAUUGAUUCAUUGAUUAUUCAACACUUAUUGAGCACAUACUACUAUUAUUAAUAGCUGUACUGCGAGCGCUAAUACUUAAAAGAGGAAGUCAGGUGAAGGCGCAACAGCUUUAUGCUCUUUUUCACUAUAAUCUGUGAAAUAGUGUAUAUUAAACAAUAAUAGUAUAUGGAAAAGCACAUCUACAUGUGUCAUCAGUUAUAAUACUGUGGGGCUGUUUGGCAGACAAUAGAGUAGAUAAAUUUAUUGAACAUUGGGCCUUUGAAAGGUAUGUGGAAAUUGUAAAUAAAAAUGGAUUCCAUGAAUUUCAAAUAAUAAUUGUUCUGUUGUAUGUGAAACUGUGUAAUAAGAUUGUCAUUUUAUUUACUUUUCUGCAUCAUUUUCAACUUCCUUUUUGAGAUUAGCUAAAAUUGAACACUUACAAGAGGAAAUGAUUUUACUUUUAUAUUUUCAUGUCCAAGGGAAGAGGAAAACAUGAAGAAAACAGAUUUAUAAAAUUUACUCACAAGGCUGGGCACGGUGGCUCACACCUGUAAUCCCAGUAGUUUGAGAGGCCGAGGCAGGUGGAUCACGAAGUCAGGAGUUCAAGACCAGCCUGGCCAAGAAGACGUAAGAAUGUGAUGGAGCUGAGAAGGGAGAAUAAACUGCAGGCCGAGGUGGAAUUGUUCUUCAGCUCACACUUCCACUCCUACGUUCCUCCAAUACCAGAGGAUUUCCUUGUGUUCGAAGUUGUGAUCUGCUGUGACUCAAGACUGAGGCUCAGGGCUCCUCCUGGCCAAAGACUGAGCUUCUUUCACCCAGGCUGGAAUGCAGUGGCGCGAUCUCGGCUCACUGCAACUUCCGCCUACCAGGUUCAAGUGAUUCUCCUGCCUCAGCCUCCCGACUAGCUAGGAUUACAGGCUGGAAUACAGUGGCACGAUCUCAGCUCACUGCAAGCUCUACCUCCCAGGUUCAAGUGAUUCUCCCACCUCAGCCUCCCGAGUAGCUGGGACUACAGGUGCAUGCCACCACACCCAGGUGGGAUCUCACUCUGUCACCCAGGUGGGAAUGCAGUGGCACCAUUUCAGCUCACUGCAACCUCCGCCUCCCGGGCUCAAGGCAUCCUCCCACCUCAGCCUCCUGAGUAGCUGGGACCACAGGUGCAUGCCACCACGCCCAACUAAUUUUUUGCAUUUUUUAGUAGAGAUGGGGUCUCGCCAUGUUACCCAGGCUGGUCUCGAACUCCUGAGCUCAAGUGAUCUGCCUGUUUAGGCCUUCUAAAGUGCCGGGAUUACAGGCGUAAGCCAUUGCACCUGGCCUCACACUGGAAUUUUCUACGCACCUGAUGAGGUAUGCUUGUGGCAGUGGUUCUCAAAGUGGGGUCCUGGAACCAGCAGCAUCAGCAGCACUUUGUUAAAUAUGCAGAUUCUCAGGUCCCACCUCAGACUUAAUCAGAAACACUGAGGGUGGGGACUAAUAAUUUUUACCCUCCAGGUACUUUUAUUCAUGGUAGUGUUUGAGAAUCACUGCUUGAUGAGAUAUAGAAAUAAAAACUUGUUAUGGAUGGUGGCUGUUUUGUAGACAAGAUAAAGACAUAUGCACAAAUGACAGUAAUAACUAAUAAAAGUGACAUUUGCCAUAAGAUGGUCAUAAAGUGCAAUUGGAAUUUGGGGGAGAUGUGAUUACUUCAUUAUGAACAUGAUAUCCUCAUUCAUUCAUUCAUUCAUUCAUUCAUUCAUUCAUUGAGGCAUUCUAGGUCCUAAGACUAAGUAAGGCACAGUCUUUGACUUAACAAGCUGAAGUGACAUAAUAGGUGGUUCUCCUUGCUAAUUACCACAUGGCUAGAUUACACAAUCCAAUGAUCUCCACACUUAAAAGUGCAUUUGAAUCACUUGGCAGGCUUAUUAAAACACAAAUUGUCAAACCCCAUGCCCAGAGUUUCUGGUUCGGUAAGUAGGUGGGUGCCAAAAAUUAGUAUUUCCAAAAAUUUUUCAGGAGAUAACUGAUGCCACUUGUCCAGGGUUUGCAAUUUGAGAAUCACUGAUAUAGUCAGUAAUUUAAAGACAGUAGUACUAAUGCCCAGAAAUAUGACUUUGUUUAACAAAGCUGGCCUAAGCUAGAAAUGAAACCAGAUUCCCAGUUCAACAUAACCUCUACUGCAGCCUGCCUUUGUGACCCCUGAAAGAGGAUGCCUGUUUGAUCUCACAGGGAUUCUAACACUUACAGGACAGUAAAGAAUGGAUGACUUUAUGAUACUUCAUCUGUCUCAUUUUUAUGUUGUAUUUUAAUUUCUUAUUCCAAAAUCAGCCAUGUUUCUGACAUCUACAAUGCAACUGUGAACCAUCAAGCUCUCCAUUCUGUGUAGGGAGAUCUGAUCUGUACAUAAAAGUAACAUUUGAAUUACAAUAUCACCUUGAAAAGAGUAAUAUAUAAUAUAUUUUAUUAUCUUCCUGAUAAUAGGAGGUUUUGAGGACAAAGAUCCUCAAUUACAAAAUAUUUCUCCCUUGUACCUCUCUGUUAGAUGACUGUGAAACUAACAAAAGACCAUGUUUGUUGAGAGAAAGGCAUAAAAAUAUGUACUGGGAGACAAAUCAGUGGAGAUAAUAGGCUGUGGGUUCUUUGCUGAUAAUUCACUCUAUUUCAAAAGUAUGUGUGGUUUAUCCAUAAAUCCAUGAUUAAGUUCUCUAAUUCUGUAAUUUGGAGAAAAUAUAUUAAUCUUUUUUGAAUGGAGAUAAAGAUAGAUUCCCCCAAAUUUAAUUAAUCUAUUUUGCAUCCUUGAAUGAUUACAUGAAAACUCAGACCCCUCAGCAUAAAUUAUGUAAUUGAAUUUCAAAUGAUAAUGUGGAAAAAUUGGGCAUGGAUGAAAAUAAUAUAUUCCCAAUUGUAUAAUGACUUUCUUUGACCAUUUAAAAAUAUUUUAAUUGCUUUUAUUUUAAAUCAAGUAUUUUAAGGAAACUAUUUUGAUGAUUUGAAGGUGAGCACUGAGAAGGACUAGAAAUGAGGAAGAGAAGUAGGGGCCUGAUGGUAUUUUAGUCUCAACAGAUGAAUUCUGGUGGAUAUUGGAUGGUUGGUUUGCUUAAUCCUGUAGUGAUUAAUGGCCUAUCAAGGGAUGAGAACAUAUUUUACACACUUAUUUCCUAAAUAUAUGUGCUAAAUUCCUACCAUGGAAUCAAUGCUAUUACAUAAAGGAUAGGGAAAAUCUCUCUGUGUUUAGGUUUCUCCUCUCCCCUGCGGUUAAUCUCCCCUUUCUCCCAUUUUGUCAAAUAGGGUAUAAAAAAUGUUAAGACUUCAACGCAGUUAAAUCUUAGGCACUUUCACUUGUCACAGUCAUCACCCAGUCUCCCAAAUUAAAGAGCAGCUGUUCAGAUUCUCUUGGGUAGGACAUGAUGAGUCUUAUUUCCUACUUCCUGUGGAGCUCAGUUUAAACUAUUUCUGAUCCUCUAGAACUUGAGGUAAUCAUCUACUCUGUAAAAGAAGACAAAAACUCAAUAUUACUUUCUUGAGUAAUUUGGAUGGCCAUUUAUUGCUUUCAUCCUGAGAACAACUGGUUUAUUUUGCCUCCAAAUAUAGCAUUCUUAGAGUUGCCUGAAAGAAUUUA
rnacentral:lncRNA from 1 species